UUCCCCUCUUAUCUAAUUUUUCACACACUGUUUACCGUUCCGGAGCGAGAAAAAGUAGCGGGGAGAAAAAUGGGUGGGAAAGUGGGAGAGAGAAAGAGAAAGAGGGAGAAAGUAGAGGGAGAAAAGCAAAGAGAGAGAAAGUAGAGCGAGAGAGAGACCAAGAGGGGGAGGGGGGCAGUAGUAGAGCUGUACACCACAUGGCCUCAUUCUCUCUGGGGUCUCACCAUCCACCACCACCACCAGGCCAUGACUCUCUCUUGAAGAUUCCCUCUCGCCGCCCCGACAUGGAUCACGACAAGGAAAUGUCGUCUGCUGUUAUGGAGGGAAAUGACCCGGUUACUGGCCACAUUAUUUCUACUACCAUUGGAGGCAAAAAUGGUGAACCAAAACAGACAAUUAGUUACAUGGCAGAGCGCGUUGUGGGUACAGGAUCAUUUGGAAUUGUCUUCCAGGCAAAAUGCUUGGAAAGUGGGGAGACAGUGGCUAUAAAGAAGGUCUUGCAGGACAGGCGCUAUAAAAAUCGUGAGCUACAGUUAAUGCGCUUAAUGGAUCAUCCAAAUGUGAUUUCUCUGAAGCAUUGUUUCUUUUCUACAACAAGUAAAGAUGAGCUUUUUCUGAAUUUGGUUAUGGAAUAUGUCCCCGAGACAAUGUUCCGGGUCCUCAAGCAUUACAGCAAUGCAAAUCAGAGGAUGCCUCUAAUCUAUGUGAAACUCUACACUUAUCAGAUUUUUAGGGGGCUGGCAUAUAUCCAUACUGUUCCUGGGGUUUGUCAUAGGGACGUGAAGCCUCAAAAUCUUCUGGUUGAUCCUCUCACUCACCAAGUGAAACUUUGUGACUUUGGGAGUGCAAAAGCUCUGGUUAAGGGCGAAGCAAACAUAUCAUACAUAUGCUCCCGCUAUUACCGAGCUCCGGAACUUAUAUUUGGCGCAACAGAAUAUUCAACGUCAAUUGACAUUUGGUCAGCUGGUUGUGUUCUUGCAGAGCUUCUUCUAGGCCAGCCAUUGUUUCCUGGAGAAAAUGCAGUUGACCAACUUGUAGAGAUUAUAAAGGUUCUUGGUACUCCUACUCGAGAGGAAAUUCGGUGUAUGAAUCCAAAUUAUACGGACUUCAGGUUUCCCCAGAUAAAAGCUCAUCCCUGGCAUAAGGUGUUUCACAAACGGAUGCCACCUGAGGCUAUUGAUCUUGCUUCGCGGCUUCUGCAGUAUUCACCAAGUCUUCGCUGCACGGCUCUAGAAGCCUGUUCCCAUCCUUUUUUCGAUGAUCUUCGCGAACCCAAUGCCCGUCUCCCAAAUGGUCGCCCUUUGCCCCCACUUUUCAACUUUAAGCAGGAAGUACGUCUCACCUAUUUCUUCUAAUGCAUUUUGACCCUUGCAUUAAGUGUGCUUUUCUUUUGUGGAAAUUAUUCUGUAAAUAAAGCCUCUGGGCUCUGAUGAUCCCAAGGAUUUUUGAGCUUUGAUAUUCAGUGUUUUAAUGUUGUAUUGUGUUCACUUUGUCUAAAGGUAGGUGAAUAUCAACUUCAUCCGCCCCUUCCCCCUCAAAAAAACAAAAAUGCCACAAAAAUAAAAGAAAUAUCUGGCUUUCCAAGUAUUUGUAGGUUCCCCAGAAAUGAAGGAAAAAGUAAAUAACCUGUUCAUGAAUAAUGAAAGAUUUGCCUUAGUUGCCGUUGAUUCAACAAUUUUGAUCAGUGUUCCUGAAUUUGCUUCCAUGUCAAGUGGCAUACCAGCAAGAUCAUGUUUCCCCUGAUAUAUAUGUACUCACCCAUGAUGACUAUAUAUUUGAACAUAUGCUGGUGCUUUGCUUGCCUGACAUGAAUCCAAACUUGUUUAGCUGCCCUGUAGAUAAGUAUAGCCUAACAUGAAGCCUUAUUUGAGAGUAGGGAUGUCAGACAUGUGCUUGCAGCUUCAUGUCAGACACGUGUUUUUAAUGAAAAUCCCUUCUACUAAUAUGAUUUUAAUCUAAUUGCGAGGUAUGAAGUUCCAACGAUGAUGGUUGGAUCUGGCUAUCCAUUGGUGGCCAUGGCAGCAAGUAUAUGCCUGAUAAGUGUAAAAGAAAGCUGAGUAUUGGUUGAUAUUAUUUUCCUUGUGGUAAAUAAGUUAGCUCAGGAAUGAUGAAUGAAUUUUUUACACAGAGAGCGGUUCAAGAAUGACAUUUUCUUAUUAACACUGCAGUGCAUGUUAAUAAUUCUGUACUCUUAAGUUGGUUCAAGGGUGUUGGAUGAAGUUUUCAUACGGCUCAAUUGACAUGUGCAUCUGGUCCAUAUGUUGUUGAUAAUCUAACCUCUAUUUUUUGACUCGUGUUCUCCCCAUCUGGUUACAGUUAUCUGGAGCUUCACCUGAACUCAUCAACAGGCUUAUACCUGACCAUGUGCGGCGGCAAAGUGGUCUCAGCUUCCCUCAUCCAGCGGGCACGUAAGUAGAGAGAGAAAGCAUGAAGGUUGCCUUUUCUCUAGUGGAUGUAGCAAAGGGGGUUCCGAUACCUCUUUGUGAGCUGUGUUGCCGAGCAUGGCCUAAUUGCAGACGUUUUUGUCACGUGCAAAGAUGCAUAUGUAUACUGGCUGUUCUGUUCGGCAUGACUUGGAAUUCAUGUUGUCUAGUACAUCAAUUUAGCUUAAAACAAACUGUUUCCCUGCUUUUGUACAUUGUUUUGAUCGUAAAAGAUUCCAGAAAGCUAGGAGUUAAGGGAUGUUGCAAUUCAUGUCUGGAUAUAGGUAGGUGCUUUAAAAGCACGCGGGAGCUGCUGCAGACUCGGUAAACUGGCUUGUUUUUCACUUUACAUGGUAUUGUUUCUACCUUUUAAGGUUGUGGUGUUUUGUUGUCUCAAACUACAUUUCAUAAUUGGAGUUUACUGUUUAUUUC